ensembl:lncRNA
GAAGCAGUAGAAGAAAUAGAAUAAUUUACAGAUAGAUGCAUUAUAUGUUUGCCAUUAUAUUUGUGCCUUCUGGUGUACACAAUGUCAUAAUGCUCUCCUUCCAUCAUUGACCUAUAUACCGUAUUUUUUGUUUUAUAAGACACACUUCCCCCCCCCCCCCCCAAAAAAAAAAAUAGAGGGAAAAAGUCAGUGCGUCUUAUAAACACAAUCUGCGUCCAGGAAGGGAGAAUGGGGACGCGCGGACGGCACAGAUCGCCCCAUUCUCCCUUUCUGGACGCGUCCGCAGAUCGCUCUGGCCGUCAAUGGGCCUGUGCGUGUGCUUGAGCAAGGAAGCCUCCGAUGUGUCACGUGAGGCUCAGAGGGCGGACGGAAAGGGUUCUCGGGCUCCCAUUCCUCCUGCCCGCAGGGCCUGUUCUUGCUGCUGGCCUGCACACCCCCUCCUCCUCCUCCCAGGCCUGCGGCCUCUCGCCCGCCUUGCCAGCCUUGCCGGCUGCUCGCCUGGCCGCGAUGCCUGCUCCUGCCUGACCAGUGCCUGCCCCCACCUGGCCACAAUGCCUGCUUCCCCGCCACCUUCGCCUUCCCUUCCGCCCCGAAGGCGGGAUGGCGCCGCUGGACCAUGGUGCGCUUCUCCGUCCUCUCCAAGGCAAGGAAGGAGGGAGGCGGGGGAGCCAAGCCAGCAAGCAGUAGCAGCAGCAGCAGCCCCCUCCUCUGCCUCCUCCUCCUCCUCGGCUGGGGCGAAGGCCAGGAAGCCCCUCAAAUCCUGGACCAGUUCCUGGCCACUGUGA